rnacentral:rRNA from 1 species
AUUGAACGCUGGCGGCAUGACUUACACAUGCAAGUCGAACGGCAGCACGGGAGCAAUCCUGGUGGCGAGUGGCGAACGGGUGAGUAAAGUAUCGGAACGUGCCCAGUCGUGGGGGAUAACGUAGCGAAAGUUACGCUAAUACCGCAUACGAUCUAUGGAUGAAAGCGGGGGAUCGCAAGACCUCGCGCGAUUGGAGCGGCCGAUAUCAGAUUAGGUAGUUGGGGGGGUAAAGGCUCACCAAGCCGACGAUCUGUAGCUGGUCUGAGAGGACGACCAGCCACACUGGGACUGAGACACGGCCCAGACUCCUGCGGGAGGCAGCAGUGGGGAAUUUUGGACAAUGGGCGAAAGCCUGAUCCAGCCAUGCCGCGUGCAGGAUGAAGGCCUUCGGGUUGUAAACUGCUUUUGUACGGUACGAAAAGGUUUGGCCUAAUAAGCUGAGCUCAUGACGGUACCGUAAGAAUAAGCACCGGCUAACUACGUGCCAGCAGCCGCCGUAA